rnacentral:rRNA from 1 species
UCAAGCGAAUAAGCGCACACGGUGGAUGCCUUGGCGGUCAGAGGCGAUGAAGGACGUGGCAGCCUGCGAAAAGUAUCGGGGAGCUGGCAACAAGCUUUGAUCCGGUAAUGUCCGAAUGGGGAAACCCACCCGCUUGCGGGUAUCCUGCAGUGAAUACAUAGCUGCUGGAAGCGAACCUGGUGAACUGAAAUAUCUAAGUAACCAGAGGAAAAGAAAUCAACCGAGAUUCCGUAAGUAGCGACGAGCGAACGCGGACUAGCCCUUAAGCUGGAUUGGUUCUAGGAAAACGCUCUGGAAAGAGCGGCCAUAGAAGGUGAUAGCCCUGUAUCUGAAAGGGCCAUUCCAGUGAAGACGAGUAGGGCGGGGCACGUGAAACCCUGUCUGAACAUGGGGGGACCAUCCUCCAAGGCUAAAUACUACUGACCGACCGAUAGUGAACCAGUACCGUGAGGGAAAGGCGAAAAGAACCCCGGAGAGGGGAGUGAAAUAGAACCUGAAACCGUGUGCGUACAAGCAGUAGGAGCUCCGCAAGGAGUGACUGCGUACCUUUUGUAUAAUGGGUCAGCGACUUACUGUUCGUGGCAAGCUUAACCGUAUAGGGGAGGCGAAGGGAAACCGAGUCUGAUAAGGGCGCAUAGUCGCGGGCAGUAGACCCGAAACCGGGUGAUCUAGUCAUGCCCAGGGUGAAGGUGCGGUAACACGCACUGGAGGCCCGAACCCACUCCCGUUGCAAAGGUAGGGGAUGAGGUGUGAUUAGGAGUGAAAAGCUAAUCGAACCCGGAGAUAGCUGGUUCUCCUCGAAAGCUAUUUAGGUAGCGCCUCAUAUGUAUCCUCUCGGGGGUAGAGCACUGUUAUGGCUAGGGGGUCAUCGCGACUUACCAAACCAUUGCAAACUCCGAAUACCGAGACGGACUGUAUGGGAGACACACGGCGGGUGCUAACGUCCGUCGUGAAAAGGGAAACAACCCAGACCCACAGCUAAGGUCCCAAAUUCACUGCUAAGUGGAAAACCAUGUGGAAAGGCACAGACAGCCAGGAGGUUGGCUUAGAAGCAGCCACCCUUUAAAGAAAGCGUAAUAGCUCACUGGUCGAGUCGGUCUGCGGGGAAGAUUUAACGGGGCUAAGCAGUGAACCGAAGCUUGGGGUGCAUAACUUUGUUAUGCGCGGUAGAGGAGCGUUCCGUAAGCCGUUGAAGGUGGAUUGAGAAGUCUGCUGGAGGUAUCGGAAGUGCGAAUGCUGACAUGAGUAACGAUAAUGCGGGUGAAAAACCCGCACGCCGAAAGCCCAAGGUUUCCUUGCGCAACGUUAAUCGGCGCAGGGUGAGUCGGCCCCUAAGGCGAGGACGAAAGUCGUAGUCGAUGGGAAGCAGGUUAAUAUUCCUGCACCUCGCGUAAGUGCGAUGGAGGGACGGAGAAGGUUAGGUGUACCAGGCGUUGGUUGUCCUGGGGAAAGGCGGUAGGUUUGGAUCUUUGGCAAAUCCGGGAUCCUUUAAGACCGAGCACCGAGACGAGCCUUUAUGGCGAAGUCACUGAUACCACGCUUCCAGGAAAAGCUCCUAAGCUUCAGCUUACGCAGACCGUACCGUAAACCGACACAGGUGGGUAGGAUGAGAAUUCUCAGGCGCUUGAGAGAACUCGGGUGAAGGAACUAGGCAACAUGGCACCGUAACUUCGGGAGAAGGUGCACCCUUUUUGGUGGCUCGUGCGAGCUAUAGCUGAAGAGGGUCGCAGUAACCAGGCCGCUGCGACUGUUUAUCAAAAACACAGCACUCUGCAAACACGAAAGUGGACGUAUAGGGUGUGACGCCUGCCCGGUGCUGGAAGGUUAAUUGAUGGGGUCAGCCGCAAGGCGAAGCUCUUGAUCGAAGCCCCAGUAAACGGCGGCCGUAACUAUAACGGUCCUAAGGUAGCGAAAUUCCUUGUCGGGUAAGUUCCGACCUGCACGAAUGGCGUAACGACAGCGGCGCUGUCUCCACCCGAGACUCAGUGAAAUUGAAAUCGCUGUGAAGAUGCAGCGUUCCCGUGGCAAGACGGAAAGACCCCGUGAACCUUUACUAUAGCUUUACACUGAACGUUGAGUUCGUCUGUGUAGGAUAGGUGGGAGGCUAUGAAACUGUGGCGCUAGCUGCAGCGGAGCCAUCCUUGAAAUACCACCCUGUCGUGCUUGACGUUCUAACCUGGGCCCAUUAUCUGGGUCGGGGACCGUGUAUGGUGGGUAGUUUGACUGGGGCGGUCUCCUCCUAAAGAGUAACGGAGGAGCUCGAAGGUACGCUCAGCGCGGUCGGACAUCGCGCACUGUGUGCAAAGGCAUAAGCGUGCUUGACUGCAAGAUCGACGGAUCAAGCAGGUAGGAAACUAGGACUUAGUGAUCCGGUGGUUCUGUAUGGAAGGGCCAUCGCUCAACGGAUAAAAGGUACUCCGGGGAUAACAGGCUGAUACCGCCCAAGAGUUCAUAUCGACGGCGGUGUUUGGCACCUCGAUGUCGGCUCAUCACAUCCUGGGGCUGUAGUCGGUCCCAAGGGUAUGGCUGUUCGCCAUUUAAAGUGGUACGCGAGCUGGGUUCAGAACGUCGUGAGACAGUUCGGUCCCUAUCUGCCAUGGGCGUUGGAGAUUUGAGAGGGGCUGCUCCUAGUACGAGAGGACCGGAGUGGACGAACCUCUGGUGUUCCGGUUGUCACGCCAGUGGCAUUGCCGGGUAGCUAUGUUCGGAAGCGAUAACCGCUGAAAGCAUCUAAGCGGGAAGCGCGCCUCAAGAUGAGAUCUCCCGGGGCACAAGCCCCCUGAAGGAACCAUGUAGACUACGUGGUUGAUAGGUCAGGUGUGUAAGUACAGCAAUGUAUUGAGCUAACUGAUACUAAUGAUCCGUGCGGCUUGACCAU